GAUGAACGCUGGCGGCGUGCUUAACACAUGCAAGUCGAACGAGAAAUGGAGACGGAAACCUUCGGGCGGAAGGCUUCAUUUCGAGUGGCGGCCGGGUGAGUAACGCGUGGGUAACCUGCCUCAUACAGGGGGAUAACAGUUGGAAACGACUGUUAAUACCGCAUAAGACCACAGCACCGCAUGGUGCGGGGGUAAAAACUCCGGUGGUAUGAGAUGGACCCGCGUUCGAUUAGCCAGUUGGCGGGGUAACGGCCCACCAAAGCGACGAUCGAUAGCCGAUCUGAGAGGAUGACCGGCCACAUUGGGACUGAGACACGGCCCAAACUCCUACGGGAGGCAGCAGUGGGGAAUAUUGCACAAUGGGGGAAACCCUGAUGCAGCGACGCCGCGUGAGUGAAGAAGUACUUCGGUAUGUAAAGCUCUAUCAGCAGGGAAGAAAAUGACGGUACCUGAGGAAGAAGCCCCGGCUAACUACGUG
rnacentral:rRNA from 1 species